rnacentral:rRNA from 1 species
GAUGAACGCUGGCGGCGUGCCUAAUACAGGCAAGUCGAGCGAACGGACGAGAAGCUUGCUUCUCUGAUGUUAGCGGCGGACGGGUGAGUAACACGUGGAUAACCUACCUAUAAGACUGGGAUAACUUCGGGAAACCGGAGCUAAUACCGGAUGAUAUUUUGAACCGCAUGGUUCAAAAGUGAAAGACGGUCUUGCUGUCACUUAUAGAUGGAUCCGCGCUGCAUUAGCUAGUUGGUAAGGUAAUGGCUUACCAAGGCAACGAUGCCUAGCCGACCUGAGAGGCUGAUCGGCCACACUGGAACUGAGACACGGUCCAGACUCCUACGGGAGGCAGCAGUAGGGAAUCUUCGGCAAUGGGCGGAAGCCUGACGGAGCAACGCCGCGUGAGUGAUGAAGGUCUUCGGAUCGUAAAACUCUGUUAUUAGGGAAGAACAUAUGUGUAAUUAACUCUGCACGUCUUGACGGUACCUAAUCAGAAAGCCACGGCUAACUACGUG